rnacentral:ncRNA from 1 species
AGGUUGCCGCAUAAAAGGGAAUCCGGUUGGAAUCCGGAACAGUGCCCGCUACUGUAACUUCUACUGUUUAAAGCAGUAACAGAGCUUCUUUUACCACUGUAAAGUUUUACGGGAAGGUGCUCGGUGAAGUGAGUCAGGAAACCUGCCUUGGCAUAUAA